rnacentral:rRNA from 1 species
AAGCAAAUUUAUACCGUGAAACUGCGAAUGGCUCAUUAAAUCAGUUAUCGUUUACUUGAUAGUACCUUACUACUUGGAUAACCGUGGUAAUUCUAGAGCUAAUACAUGCUAAAAGCCCCGACUUCGGAAGGGGUGUAUUUAUUAGAUUAAAAACCAAUGCCCUUCGGGGCUCUUUGGUGAUUCAUAAUAACUUAACGAAUCGCAUGGCCUUGUGCCGGCGAUGGUUCAUUCAAAUUUCUGCCCUAUCAACUUUCGAUGGUAGUAUAUGGGACUACCAUGGUUUCAACGGGUAACGGGGAAUUAGGGUUCUAUUCCGGAGAGGGAGCCUGAGAAACGGCUACCACAUCCAAGGAAGGCAGCAGGCGCGCAAAUUACCCAAUCCCGACACGGGGAGGUAGUGACAAUAAAUACUGAUGCAGGGCUCUUUUGGGUCUUGUAAUUGGAAUGAGUACAAUUUAAAUCCCUUAACGAGGAACAAUUGGAGGGCAAGUCUGGUGCCAGCAGCCGCGGUAAUACCAGCUCCAAUAGCGUAUAUUAAAGUUGUUGCAGUUAAAAAGCUCGUAGUUGAACCUUGGGCCUGGCUGGCCGGUCCGCCUCACCGCGUGCACUGGUCCGGCCGGGUCUUUCCUCCUGGGGAGCCGCAUGCCCUUCACUGGGUGUGUCGGGGAACCAGGACUUUUACUUUGAAAAAAUUAGAGUGUUCAAAGCAGGCCUAUGCUCGAAUACAUUAGCAUGGAAUAAUAGAAUAGGACGUGUGGUUCUAUUUUGUUGGUUUCUCGGACCGCCGUAAUGAUUAAUAGGGAUGGUCGGGGGCAUCAGUAUUCAAUUGUCAGAGGUGAAAUUCUUGGAUUUAUUGAAGACUAACUACUGCGAAAGCAUUUGCCAAGGAUGUUUUCAUUAAUCAGGGAACGAAAGUUAGGGGAUCGAAGACGAUCAGAUACCGUCGUAGUCUUAACCAUAAACUAUGCCGACUAGGGAUCGGGCGAUGUUAUUUUUUUUUGACUCGCUCGGCACCUUACGAGAAAUCAAAGUC